UACGUAGGGUGCAAGCGUUUAAUCGGAAUUACUGGGCGUAAAGCGUGCGCAGGCGGUUUUGUAAGUCUGUCGUGAAAUCCCCGGGCUCAACCUGGGAAUUGCGAUGGAGACUGCAAGGCUAGAAUUUGGCAGAGGGGGGUAGAAUUCCACGUGUAGCAGUGAAAAUGCGUAGAGAUGUGGAGGAACACCGAUGGCGAAGGCAGCCCCCUGGGUCAAGAUUGACGCUCAUGCACGAAAGCGUGGGGAGCAAACAGG
rnacentral:rRNA from 1 species